UUUAUUUUUGAGACAGAGAGAGAUAGAGCAUGAACGGGGGAGGGGCAGAGAGAGAGGGAGACACAGAAUCGGAAACAGGCUCCAGGCUCUGAGCCAUCAGCCCAGAGCCCGACGCGGGGCUCGAACUCACGGACCGUGAGAUCAUGACCUGAGCCGAAGUCGGACGCUCAACCGACUGAGCCACCCAGGCGCCCCUCACACUUCCUUUCUCAUCCUACUUAAUCUCAUGGUGAAGGAUCAGCCCCACAGCUAUACCGACGGCUCCAGCUCUUACCUCUGGCUACUCAUGGAAGGCAGCCUCUGGGCUUUUUUGGGAAGGUCAGGGACGUUAUUUUCUGAGGCCUGUUUUCCUGUGCGAGGCUGUCUUCGCCCAGGCAAGGGGUGUUCCUCCUCUGCGCCACACAUUCCGACUUGGUCAGAUCAGAAAGCAGCAAAUCCAGGGGGAAUUUUUUUUUUUUUUUUUUUUUUUUUUUUUAACUGUCUACAGAAUCCCUUGCAUAGCAGAGAGCUCAGGAAGGAAGGCCCUGUUUGGGGACAGAGGUCAGGGGCCCUUCAGAAAGGGUCAGGCCCUCCUCUGCUAAUCCCAAGUCUGCUUGAUUAGUCUCUGAACUGAUGUACCUAGAAUGAACUUUGACACAACCCAAGAAUGUAAUUUAACCCUUGAGCUUUAUUUUCUCUCGUCCCUAAACCAUCAGACUCCUGGGGGAUUUAGAAAGGGGCUGGGGCAGGCAUAGCAAGGAGAGGGUUCGGUGGCUCUUGCUUCCCAGGACAGCUGGCCACUGGGGCUUGCCUGAGCCCCCUGGCGGGAAGCAGGGUCUGGGCGAGGCUUCCCUACUGCUGUCCUGCUAGAAAUAGGGAGAGGGGGGUGUGAUACCCUUCUGCAAAUCUGGAAUCAAACCAGAAAGGUACCUGGCAUCUUACUGCUCUCUCCUCGGGUUUCCAGCUCGCUGGCCCCAGCCAAGUUCGCCAUCACUUUUUGCUGAAGUGAAAAACAGUGGAGAUAUGAAUAUUCCCUGGAGCCACUUUGGAAUACGUUCAAGAAUAGUUUCACAGCGAAACAGGCGAAAGGACAAGAUUGCACAAAGGGCUGGAUCACCCACUUGGAGAGCCGGUUCUAGAAAGAGGACUUUGAUUUCGCGCGAGGGGCUUCACGCGCAGAGGAAGAAGGGAGUGGGCAGCGUUGGGGCGGAGGGGACAGAGGCCUGCUACCUGUCCAGGAGGUCCCCCUGUGCACAGUGACAGGCUGUCAGGGGGACAGCUUAGUAAACGGGUCAUGAGCGGUCUGGCAGCCUUCCAACCCUCCUUGUACCUGAGACAAAAAGGCAGGCCUGGCAAAACUAUUUAGGUAAUUUCCUAGUGCAUUUACCACUUCACAGACCCCACGCUACCCGAGAAUGGGGGUCUUGAAAAGAAAUAAAGCCAUCUAAAAUUUGUCCAACUAUCUUAUUACAGUAAGUGCUGAAGUAGGUGCAGUUUAUUUUUUUAUGUUUAUUUAUUUUUCAGAAAGAGAGAGACAGACAAGGUGUGAGUGGGGGAGGGGCAGAGAGAGAGAGAGGGAGAGAGAGAGGGAGGGAGGGAGACACAGAAUCCGAAGCAGGCUCCAGGCUCUGAACUGGUCGGGCUUGAACUCAUGAACUGCGAAAUCAUAACCUGAGCCGAAGUCGGAUGCUUAACCCGCUGAGCCACCCAGGCACCCGUGAACCGGCCUUCCUGCUCUUUUCACACGUAUUGGAGGCCUCAGGGCCUUUGCGCGUGUAAUUCCUUCGGCCAGGAGUGCCCCGACCGCUCCCUGAGCCCAUUAUCCCUCCGGAUGUUGACAGCCUUCACCCCUCAGGAAAGCCUGAGGUCCCCUGGGCUGUAGCAGUGGCCAGGAAGAAAACCGCCCCCUCUGAAAGUUGUUUUGGUGACUGUUCUUUGGAGCAUUGUUCUAAAAAUGGGAAAUUACAUAUUGCCGUGCCAAAGGAAACAAACACCUGCACUUAAAGGAAUACCUUCCACGAGGUGGCUCUCAGAGCCCCAGCCAGUUCUGGACGCGGGGCUGUUACACAAGUUUCACUUGGUGCUUUCUUCACUUUUAAGGGGAUCGGGUGCUUCUCCAUUCGUAACCAGGGUGGGCUUUGGCGACUACGGGGCUCCGGGGGCUUUGUCUUUGACUCAUUCACUCAAUAAACAUCUAUCGAGCAUC